rnacentral:tRNA from 1 species
GAGAUUUAAUGUUUAAGAAAAAGCUUCUAACUUAGUUCUUGAGCGGUUAAAUUCCGUUCACAUCUCG